rnacentral:lncRNA from 1 species
GGGUAGACAGCCCGCUAUAAGAAUUCGGAGUAGACCAUUCAUAGUAGAAGUUCGGCUCUCGCGGAAGCUCGGUUGGGAUCCGAAAGGCAGUCGACCAUUGUAGAAACUUGGAUGGAGUCUGGUUACUGUAGAAAUCUUGUUGUCGGAGAAGCUCGAAUGCUGACGAAAUUCAGAAGAAGUUUGGAAUAGGGUCGUCCAUGGCCGGAAGA